rnacentral:lncRNA from 1 species
UUUGGAUUUCAACACGUUUCUUCUUUAGAGAAGAUUUUGCGGCCACUAUGGAUAACGACAAGAUCUACGACCGAGCCUCGCUUGGAUCUACAUUGUCGGUUAACAAAAUAAUCCAUCCAGAUGUCCAGGUUAGUCAAACUUCACCGCUCUAUUUCCUGGUAGCUUUAUGCUCUGCACAUAUCAUGUUCAUCCAAAAUAAUAAUAAAACAAUCAGAUAGAAUAGUUCUAAAUUGUAUUUGUUAGUGAGAAGCAUGAGGCGCUGCACCUUUGACCCCGUAGUGCUCGGCUCCAAUUCAUCAGGGAGGCCACCGGCAAGCAUCAAGCUGCCCUUAGUGCUUCCUCGUCAUCAAGGAGGAGGAGCUCGGGUAGCGCCAUCCUCAAGGUACAUCCUUGCUGCUUUGACCAGCCUCUUUCGUGCACCUGUCCUUCCCUAUUUCUCUUACUGUCGUGGUGCUCGUGCUGCUGCCGAUCCUAACCUAGGUCGCCGUCACUCCUCGGCGCUUCGCAGGACAGGCACAACCGCGACACCGCAGAGACGGACGAGGGUGCGGUGCUGCUCCUUGUGGUGUAUGCAUCGGCGUGGCUUGCAAUAGUGAUGCAUAUCUUCGCGGGCAAUGCUAUUUGAAGACCAUUCAAGUGAUCUAAAGGAGAAAAUGUCCAGAAUGUAAGGAGGUUGAAGAUGACGAUCAAAAGAUUAACAUAUUAAGCGACUGCCAAGAAGCCAAUAAUGCUUGCCCCCUGCCAUUAGUAAUACCCUUGCUCUUCUUUCUGAAAUCUUUCCUAACUAUCGUUGCAGAUUGUGAGAUCCCUAUUUACAUACAUCACUCAGCGGCUGGCCGGUACAGAGUUGCGUGGCAGGCAUAUGUGUUCUUAGCCAUCUUAUCAAUUGUAGGCUUAGAAUGAUUUGCUUCGUCCAAGUGUUGUUCGUCAACAAUUCCUUUGUUUGUCCAUGUAAAUUCUGAUUUUAGAGGAUACAUAUGUUUUGGUAGGAAGUGUAUUGUUUUUAUGUUUUUUCCUGGUAUGUACUGACUAAUGCAAUAACUGAUGUUUCAGAUUAUGAAAUCCCUAUUUAAUGGAUCGCUCGGUAGUUGUCCUGUA